rnacentral:tRNA from 1 species
GGCUUUAUAGUCAAUUUUAAUAUGAUAUUAGACUGCAAUUCUAAAGUAGGUAUUUACCUAAAGCUU